UGGUGCUUGUAAUGCUCGUGGCAUGUCGCCUCCUUUCUCAGCCUGUAUUCCGUAUACUCCAGAUAGGAAAAACCUGCCUGAGGAUUACGUAAACACCUGAAACACAUCAUAGAUUCCCCUCCUUCCUUCUGUCCCGAUCUGAGUCGCUUUUAAAGUCGCCUCAUUAAAGUGUGAAUCUCCUGAACAUAUGUUUUUAAACAAGUGUUAGGUACUCCUCCCCUUUUCCUUUUGGUAGAGCCUGCUUAGUGCAAUUUGGCAAGGAAGAAACGUAGAUCCUGCUUCACAAUGCGUUGCCUAGACAAAGUUACAACUUCUCUUGUGAUAUUCCCAAGAACAAAAAAAUCCUGCUGGAGUAUUUUAGAUACAAAAAGCUCAAAAUCGAAGAGACGUUGGGAAAGGAGCGCUUCCCUUCCCUGGAACGUCAGAAUCGCAUAAUCCAAAGAGAGUAUCACACAGAGAAAACCAUCUCAGAAUAUUUGUUAGGUCUGAUGGGGAAAAGAAACGUCAAGGUAUUUUAUUUUUGACUUUGAACUCCCCACGCCCUUUGCAAGGAUCAUUACGCUGCCGCGGCGUAAGCCGAAGGUUCACGAGACAAAGGUGAAUGUCCAGGAGGCCGGUUUAGCAGAGCAGCCCGUGUCCUUACGGGAAGGGGGUCCGGUAACGAAGCGUCUCGGGAUCUGCCCUGGUACAGGUUUUGAAACGUUUUUCAAACCGUCAGGAGGGAAGAGCAGAGGAAAGGAUGGGUUCUCCAGUCGAGUUGCAUCUAGGCGCAUUCCUUCCUAAACCAGCGCGGCGAGUAUCUGGCACGGAACUGCCGGCGUUGCUGUUCCGUGUGAAGCAGAGGCAGCUGGAGCAGGAAAAGGAUGAUGCAGGGCUCCCGCCUGGCUCUUCCGCGGAGGGGGCGAUGGGAGGGCUGACGCUAGGGGACGUGGUGUAGUUCCGCACACUAACAUUGUGUGGGUUUGUGGGUGCAAAGAGACAGUCAAAAAUAAGCCUAAGAUUCUGCAGUUCCUAACGACAGGUGCCAAGAGGUUAUGAUACGGGUUCUGGGGGUCUGCGAUGUACAGUGUGAAUAAACGCUUGCAGCUCUUAGUCUUUUUUUGAUCGACGAAGCACUUUUUUUAUUAAUAUUAUUUUCCUUUGUAUGUAAAGGAGGAACCAGUAUCUCUCCAUAGCUGUAUAUAUAACCCUUCUCUCCUAAAGAGAGUAAAGUGCUCCUAUAUUUUUCAUUUUUGUCAAAGCGAGAAGUAAAUACUUUAGAAUUGUUAAAUAUAUAAAUAAAAGUGAAUAAAGUUUAGACUUUUGCAUG